UACAGAGGGUGCAAGCGUUAAUCGGAAUUACUGGGCGUAAAGGGCUUGUAGGUGGCCAACUAAGUCAGACGUGAAAUCCCUCGGCUUAACCGGGGAACUGCGUCUGAUACUGGAUGGCUUGAGUUCGGGAGAGGGAUGCGGAAUUCCAGGUGUAGCGGUGAAAUGCGUAGAUAUCUGGAGGAACACCGGUGGCGAAGGCGGCAUCCUGGACCGACACUGACGCUGAGGAGCGAAAGCCAGGGGAGCAAACGGG
rnacentral:rRNA from 1 species